rnacentral:rRNA from 1 species
GGGUCAUACGAUGCUGAAUUUACCGGUUCUCGUUAGAUCACCAAAGUCAAGCAUCAUUGGGCGCGGUCAGUACUUGGGUGGGUGACCACCUGAGACACCGCGUGCCGUU